rnacentral:misc_RNA from 1 species
AUCAGUUCCAUUAAUGAGCAUUCAAGAGAGUACCGACAAGUUAACCACAUCACUCGGCCACCAAAUUGGACACUUCUUUAUUAAGCACACCUUACCAUACACAAGGCAAAGACCAAAAACACAACAACCCACACACACCAAAACAAAACAGAACAAUCUCUGUUAAUCGAUCAUCAUCUCCGAUAAUUAUUAUACAAUACAAUAGCGGAACGCCUCACAUGACAGCAGAUUUGAGUUUGACUCCAUCGAGACCUUUAAGAUCACCGAGAUCCGACGGACAAUGGUUCCUGAUGGUCGUUAACUCAUACGGCGCCGUAUCAAUGGCGAGCCACUGCUCCACCGUGAACUGCUGCUGCGAGCAAGGCGUGUGGACGCCAGUGGUAGUCACCUCAACGUAGUUACAGUACCAGCCGUGAUGCGGUCCACUUCCAUCAGAGGUCAAGUUCAAAGCGCAGACUGGAGCGUUCAGGCAGGGUCCUCUCCCGCUGAAAAUGUCGAGAUUGCCCCUCUCGAAGUAGUUGUAGUCAGGCCCCAUCAGGCCGCCCCAGGACUCCAGAUUCCGGAUCUCCGCGAACUCGCCGUAGACGUCGUAGAGCCUAACACUGAUGAUGGAGUCUGUUCCUCCUUUGAUGAUCGACCCGGUCCUUAUGUACACCGUGUACACGCAAUCAUCGUCGG